UACGAAGGGGGCUAGCGUUGCUCGGAAUCACUGGGCGUAAAGCGCACGUAGGCGGAUCUUUAAGUCAGGGGUGAAAUCCCAAGGCUCAACCUUGGAACUGCCUUUGAUACUGGGGAUCUCGAGUCCGGAAGAGGUUGGUGGAACUGCGAGUGUAGAGGUGAAAUUCGUAGAUAUUCGCAAGAACACCAGUGGCGAAGGCGGCCAACUGGUCCGGUACUGACGCUGAGGUGCGGAAAGCGUGGGGAGCAAACAGGGAU
rnacentral:rRNA from 1 species